UACCAGCACCCCGAGUGGUCGGGACGUUUAUUGGGCCUAAAGCAUCCGUAGCCGGUUCUACAAGUCUUCCGUUAAAUCCAACUGCUUAACAGGUGGGCUGCGGAAGAUACUAUAGAGCUAGGAGGCGGGAGAGGCAAGCGGUACUCGAUGGGUGAGGGGUAAAAUCCGUUGAUCCAUUGAAGACCACCAGUGGCGAAGGCGGCUUGCCAGAACGC
rnacentral:rRNA from 1 species